AGACAUGUUCAUCUGCUUUCCAUACUGAAUUGGGGAAUUCUAGUAUAUCAGACGAACAUGUCUUUUUUGUUGUACUUCAUUU
rnacentral:antisense_RNA from 1 species